rnacentral:tRNA from 1 species
GGGAAGGUAGUUUAGUGGUAGAGCGCUUGUCUUGCAUGCAUGAGGCCCUGGGUUCGAUUCCUCAGCACCA